UCAAAUUACAGCACCCUCAAGGUGAACUGCCAAUGCACCUCAGAUCAAAUAACUAGACACACAACUAUAGCUAUGAACAAGUCACUGAUGAGAAGGUAGAUAUCUUUGUGACUGUUCAUAAAUGGUCACGCUCAAUACCUUUAUUUUUAACAAGCAUUUAUACUUUUACUUUAAUAUCUUCACACUAUAGAUUCAAGAUUUAUCCAUCCAAAGAAAAUGAUCGUACACCAAUCUUCAAAUCGAUCACCAUCCUCAUGAUGAUCCU
rnacentral:lncRNA from 1 species